rnacentral:rRNA from 1 species
GGUUAAGUGACUAAGCGUACACGGUGGAUGCCUUGGCAGUCAGAGGCGAUGAAAGACGUAGUAACUUGCGAUAAGCCCAGAUUAGGUAGUAACAACCAUCUGAGUCUGGGAUUUCUGAAUGGGGAAACCCACGUGCAUAAGCACGUAUCCUUACCUGAAUACAUAGGGUAAGGAGGCGAACCGGGGAACUGAAACAUCUAAGUACCCCGAGGAAAAGAAAUCAACCGAGAUUCCGAAAGUAGCGGCGAGCGAAAUUGGACUAGCCCUUAAGCUUUACACGCGUUAGACGAACGGUCUGGAAAGUCCGACGAUACAGGGUGAUAGUCCCGUAGUUGACGACGUGUGUUCAGUGAAAUCGAGUAGGGCGGGACACGUGAUAUCCUGUCUGAAUAUGGGGGACCAUCCUCCAAGGCUAAAUACUACUGACUGACCGAUAGUGAACCAGUACCGUGAGGGAAAGGCGAAAAGAACCCCUGUGAGGGGAGUGAAAUAGAACCUGAAACCGUGUACGUACAAGCAGUAGGAGCAGGCUUUGUCCUGUGACUGCGUACCUUUUGUAUAAUGGGUCAGCGACUUAUAUUCAGUGGCAAGGUUAACCAUCUAGGGGAGCCGUAGGGAAACCGAGUCUUAACUGGGCGUUCAGUCUCUGGAUAUAGACCCGAAACCAGGUGAUCUAGCCAUGGGCAGGUUGAAGGUUGAGUAACAUCAACUGGAGGACCGAACCGACUAAUGUUGAAAAAUUAGCGGAUGACUUGUGGCUAGGGGUGAAAGGCCAAUCAAACCUGGAGAUAGCUGGUUCUCCCCGAAAGCUAUUUAGGUAGCGCCUCGGACGAAUACUACUGGGGGUAGAGCACUGUUAAGGCUAGGGGUCAUCCCGACUUACCAACCCUUUGCAAACUCCGAAUACCAGUAAGUACUAUCCGGGAGACACACGGCGGGUGCUAACGUCCGUCGUGGAGAGGGAAACAACCCAGACCGCCAGCUAAGGUCCCAAAUUACUACUAAGUGGGAAACGAUGUGGGAAGGCUCAGACAGCCAGGAUGUUGGCUUAGAAGCAGCCAUCAUUUAAAGAAAGCGUAAUAGCUCACUGGUCGAGUCGGCCUGCGCGGAAGAUGUAACGGGGCUAAGUAGUAAACCGAAGCUGCGGCAAUACUCUUUGAGUAUUGGGUAGGGGAGCGUUCUGUAAGCGGUUGAAGGUGUGUGGUAACGCAUGCUGGACGUAUCAGAAGUGCGAAUGCUGACAUGAGUAACGAUAAAGGGGGUGAAAAACCUCCUCGCCGGAAGACCAAGGGUUCCUGUCCAACGUUAAUCGGGGCAGGGUAAGUCGACCCCUAAGGCGAGGCCGAAAGGCGUAGUCGAUGGGAAACGGGUUAAUAUUCCCGUACUUCUUACAAUUGCGAUGGGGGGACGGAGAAGGCUAGGUGGGCCUGGCGACGGUUGUCCAGGUUCAAGUGCGUAGGCUUAAGAGUUAGGUAAAUCCGGCUCUUUCUAAGGCUGAGACACGACGUCGAGCACCUACGGGUGUGAAGUCAUUGAUGCCAUGCUUCCAGGAAAAGCCUCUAAGCUUCAGAUUGUAAGGAAUCGUACCCCAAACCGACACAGGUGGUCGGGUAGAGAAUACCAAGGCGCUUGAGAGAACUCGGGUGAAGGAACUAGGCAAAAUGGUACCGUAACUUCGGGAGAAGGUACGCUCUUGAUGGUGAAGUCCCUCGCGGAUGGAGCUGACGAGAGUCGCAGAUACCAGGUGGCUGCAACUGUUUAUUAAAAACACAGCACUGUGCAAAAUCGUAAGAUGACGUAUACGGUGUGACGCCUGCCCGGUGCCGGAAGGUUAAUUGAUGGGGUUAGACUUCGGUCGAAGCUCUUGAUCGAAGCCCCGGUAAACGGCGGCCGUAACUAUAACGGUCCUAAGGUAGCGAAAUUCCUUGUCGGGUAAGUUCCGACCUGCACGAAUGGCGUAAUGAUGGCCACGCUGUCUCCACCCGAGACUCAGUGAAAUUGAAAUCGCUGUGAAGAUGCAGUGUACCCGCGGCUAGACGGAAAGACCCCGUGAACCUUUACUACAGCUUGGCACUGAACAUUGACCCUACAUGUGUAGGAUAGGUGGGAGGCUUUGAAGCACGUACGCCAGUAUGUGUGGAGCCGUCCUUGAAAUACCACCCUUGUAGUGUUGAUGUUCUAACGUCGACCCCUUAUCGGGGUUACGGACAGUGCCUGGUGGGUAGUUUGACUGGGGCGGUCUCCUCCCAAAGAGUAACGGAGGAGCACGAAGGUGGGCUAAUCACGGUUGGACAUCGUGAGGUUAGUGCAAUGGCAUAAGCCCGCUUGACUGCGAGAAUGACAAUUCGAGCAGGUGCGAAAGCAGGUCAUAGUGAUCCGGUGGUUCUGAAUGGAAGGGCCAUCGCUCAACGGAUAAAAGGUACUCCGGGGAUAACAGGCUGAUACCGCCCAAGAGUUCAUAUCGACGGCGGUGUUUGGCACCUCGAUGUCGGCUCAUCACAUCCUGGGGCUGAAGUCGGUCCCAAGGGUAUGGCUGUUCGCCAUUUAAAGUGGUACGCGAGCUGGGUUUAGAACGUCGUGAGACAGUUCGGUCCCUAUCUGCCGUGGGCGUUGGAAGAUUGAAGGGGCUGCUCCUAGUACGAGAGGACCGGAGUGGACGAACCUCUGGUGUUCGGGUUGUGUCGCCAGACGCAUUGCCCGGUAGCUAAGUUCGGAAUCGAUAACCGCUGAAAGCAUCUAAGCGGGAAGCGAGCCCUGAGAUGAGUCUUCCCUGAUACUUUAAGUAUCCUAAAGGGUUGUCGGAGACUACGACGUUGAUAGGUCAGGUGUGUAAGUGCUGUGAGGCAUUGAGCUAACUGAUACUAAUUGCCCGUGAGGCUUAACCAU